CCAAGGAGUCUAGACUGUGCGCGAGUCAAAGGGCUGGCUAAACCCCAAGGCGAAACGAAAGUGAAAAAGAUGUUAUCAUUUUUUUUCAUCGGGCCGAUCCGGUUCGAAGUGGAUGGCGGGGGACUUUUCGCUCCCGUUCUUCCCUUCGAUUCGUCACGGUGAACACGUGGACGGCGCAGGCCCGGGGCUCGCUUUUGCUUCCUCCGCCGUCGUUAAGGCUCGGGAGUCGUAUUGUUCCGGUCGAGAGGUCGUUGGCGCUGCAGCGGGAGGGAUUCGCGUCCUUUCCGUUCGCUCGCCCGCUCCUCGAUAGGGACCUUCUCCCCGCCGACGGCGGACGAGCGGCGGGUUCUCCGAGCGCACACUCUGGUACCCGAAAGAUGGUGAUCUAUGCCUGGCGAGGAUGAAGCCAGAGGAAACUCUGGUGGAAGUCC
rnacentral:rRNA from 1 species